AGCAAUCUCUCUCCAAUUCGAAGUCUGAGUUCUUGAUUUAAACAGAAUUUGUUUUUCUAACCAGUUGGGAAGCGUCUCUCCGAGUUGGAAGCAGAAACUAGGAUGUUUGCCCCACUCCCCACUUGAACUCUGCCCUCUGAAUAAAAAAAAAAAAGUCACUCUUACUCAUUUUCUAGCUUCAGACCAAAGGACAAGACGGAAAGAGCCCUCUGAGAUGAUAUUUUCACAUUUUUAAAAUUCUUUCUCCUUCUUGAAUGAACGCCAUACUGGACAGCAAGGAGGUGCCCACACUCACCUGUGUGGACAGCCCCGAUGUUCUGCCUGAGGAGCACAGAUGAAAACCACAACUUCUCGACAGUCUGCCUAGUGAGCUGCGGCCAAGUCAAGCCUCCUUGCCCCUGUGUCUCUCCAAGGAAGAGAUAUCAGGUGCCAGUGACCCAGGGAAGCUUCCAUUUGUGGAGCCCCUUCUUCAAAACUCGGCCCCAGUCCUCAUAACAGCAUCCUUGGGGGGAAGGUUGAUGCAGCAGGGAGAGAAACAGGACCCAUGAGCACCGUGUACCUAGGACUCAGGAACUUCACCUGCUCUGAAGUGUGUUAACUUACCCUUCCUCUCUCCCCUCACUUCCCUCCGUGUGACUUAGGUUGAGUUUAAUAAACUGUGUGAUUCAAGCAUCUGAA